rnacentral:misc_RNA from 1 species
GAUGAAGAACGUAGCGAAAUGCGAUACUUGGUGUGAAUUGCAGAAUCCCGUGAACCAUCGAGUCUUUGAACGCAAGUUGCGCCCGAAGCCAUCAGGUUGAGGGCACGUCUGCCUGGGCGUCACAUAUCGUUGCCCAAUGCCUAUUGCAGUGCAAUAGGAAUUUCUAGGGCGAAUGAUGGCUUCCCGUGAGCGUUGUUGCCUCGCGGUUGGUUGAAAAUCGAGUCCUUGGUAGGGUGUGCCAUGGUAGAUGGUGGUCGUGUUAGAACGAUACCGAUCAUGUGCAUGCUCCCCAAAAUAUGGCCUCUAUGACCCACACGCGUCUUUUGACGCUCAUGACGAGACCUCAGGUCAGGCGGGGCUACCCGCUGAAUUUAAGCAUAUCAAUAAGCGGAGGA